UUUAUAGUAAACCAAGAAUGUUUUUGUACCAAUCUCUUCCUGUCUAUCCUUAAUCUUGAUUCCCUUGCCGGUAACUUUAUAGUAUCCAGCCUUGGUUGUCCUGUGGUUUGGUUCUUGGCGACGACGAAAGAAAUACCACUCGCGAUCACUUGAGUCUACUCGCGAGAACUCUGCAAACGCAUGGUAACUCUAAAAAGAUAAUGGGGAAAGGGGAAGAAUGCACUCGGCAGAUAUACUUACGAGGUAAUUCCCAAGGCUCACAAUCAUUGAUAUUAAUCACAGGGAUUCUUGGAUCAUCAUAGCCUUGUAUUUUCGCCACCAGAAUUUGCAACAAUUCCUUGUCCUUUCGGCGAAUCAAUGGUCCAAGUGGAUCUGUUGCUUGCAUCUUUUCAAGUCACUAUAUGUAUAUUUGCACCUGCAAAAAAACUGUAUCUAUAAGAUAUCAAGAAGAAGAAGAAGCUAAGACAAGAAGACACUCGGUCACUCAAUUAUGCAGCAAAAUAUUUCAUUCUACUUGAUAAAAUGGGAAGCAAAAGGAGAGAGAGAGACUGAAAAUUAAUUGCAUACAAGAAAUGAAAGAGGAACUGAAUUGAGAGUUAUAGAAGUAGUGCGUAUGUCUUUUUUAUACAGAAACAUGCCAUGCCUCUGCUUCAAAGAGAAGCUAUGGCCUAUCACCUGUUUAUUUUAUAAGCUAGAAAUUUUAUUAAAAAGAUAAGAAAAAUACAUAUGGUCUAUCACUUGUUAAGUACAGUGAAA
rnacentral:misc_RNA from 1 species